rnacentral:rRNA from 1 species
UACGAAGGGGGCUAGCGUUGCUCGGAAUUACUGGGCGUAAAGGGCGCGUAGGCGGCACUGUUAGUCAGGCGUGAAAGUCCUGGGCUCAACCUGGGAACUGCGCUUGAUACGGCAGAGCUAGAGGAUGGAAGAGGGUCGCGGAAUUCCCAGUGUAGAGGUGAAAAUUCGUAGAUAUUGGGAAGAACACCGGUGGCGAAGGCGGCGACCUGGUCCAUUACUGACGCUGAGGCGCGACAGCGUGGGGAGCAAACAGG